rnacentral:tRNA from 3 species
GGUGAUAUAGCUCAGUUGGUAGAGCAUCGGACUGAAAAUCCGUGAGUCGAUGGUUCGAGUCCAUUUAUCACCACAA